UACGGGGGGGGUAAGCGUUGUUCGGAAUUACUGGGCGUAAAGGGCUCGUAGGCGGCCAACUAAGUCAGACGUGAAAUCCCUCAGCUUAACCGGGGAACUGCGUCUGAUACUGGAUGGCUUGAGUUCGGGAGAGGGAUGCGGAAUUCCAGGUGUAGCGGUGAAAUGCGUAGAUAUCUGGAGGAACACCGGUGGCGAAGGCGGCAUCCUGGACCGACACUGACGCUGAGGAGCGAAAGCCAGGGGAGCAAACGGG
rnacentral:rRNA from 1 species